AGCUACAGAAAAAAAGGAAAUGAUACAUCUGCUCACAACUCUGAACUUGCAAAGAAACUCCCUCAAACUAGCCAACGGGGAUGAAGAAAAAGACCCCAAAUCAGCUACCUGUGGAUACUUUCGAAAAUAAAGGGAUGUAGCAAAAUCCUGGCAGAACACACAGGCCCUGGAGAGAUGAAUAAAACACUCAAAUGUAGCACCAGAUCGACCACUCAAGACCUAACAUGCUUCCUCAGUCAUGGAUGCACGCAGGACAAACCCACAUAUUAACAACAUAGGUACUGGGAUGACCAGGGACGGCAGCUGACGUGCAGAAGCCUCAGCCUGCCGCCAGCUGAAAGGGUCCACCUCUUCACCAGCUGCUGCACGGCCCCCAGCUGUCCUGCUCCUCCAUAUAUGGGACUUGCCUCUCUGAGGAGACCCACCUUACAGCCAUGUGCCUGCAUCUGGUGUUGUAAUGGCAGGGGCGGCAGGGUUACAGUCAGGAAGGAGAUGGCAGCCCCAGAGCCAACAGCUGGGAUGCCCUGGUGCAGGUAGGCCCUGUACCUUCCAGGUGUGACCCGGAAUAUGGAGUGUGCCCAGGAAUGGCUUUCCAACCAAAGCAUAAAGGAAAGAGCUAAGAAAUGGCUACUGUCCCUGCAGUGGGGUGAGGUCCUUCGCCCACCCAGUGAGAACUGAGUAUCGCACUGCAAAUGCUUCCUAAAUCUGGGACUGCUAUUACCUUCAUAAUGAAACAGGACCCAGUUGCAUACAGAAAUCACUAUGAAGAGAUUAUAGAGCCUUGUAGUCCCAGACUUUUGGUCAGGUACUGAUGAAUGAAGAAAGGAGCUCCAUUUCUGUUUUGAUUUUAAACUUACCCAAACAGUAAGUCCUCCUCAUACUCCUCUAUCUGCCAAAGCCAUCACACCAGCAACCUGAGCAACUGGCUCACCUCCUCAGGACCCUAGCACUGCCUUUCCAAAGGAGUGAGGAGUGGUCAGAAGGCUUCCUUACAAGAUGGUGGCAUUUAAAAAAGCAUGGUGGGGGACACCUGGGUGGCUCAGUCGGUUAAGCAUCUGCCUUUGGCUCAGGUCAU